UAAAAAUAAAAAUAAAAAACUACAUUGACCCAAGUAUGGCCAAUGCCACAUUGCCAGUCUGCACUGUGCAAAGUCAAGUCCAUUUUUUAAAAAGGUAUUUUCUAAGUUAGAGCCCAGGAGUUCCCUUUUCAGAUCACUGCCAUUCUUAGUUGGCUAACAUCUAAUAACUAGCACUCUUAAUGACUGCUGGGGCACAGGAAUCUCUUUAUUUCUAAAUAAAUAAGCCCUACCUGGAAUGUUCUUCAAAAGUGGAUCUGAUUAGUUCUUUAAAAUUAGCAUAAACCACCGGUACAACCCAUCGCUUCCCCUCAGAAUGGUGAAGUCCCUUUGGAUUUCCCAUUUAAAAGUGCCCAUCAGCCAAACCAAAGGAAAGGUUUAACUUCUACACAAAGCACUACAACUUCCAGACGUACUUUUGGUUAAGACAUUAUACUACUACUAGUACACUUUCUACUUUCUGAACAUGUUAAGUAAUUAAUACUAGCAAUUACCUACGAUACUCCAAUUAAACACAAAGACAGACACUAUUUGGGGAAGGAACUCAGCUUUAACACAGUAACCUUUCUAAUUAAUGUGCAGGUUGCUUUUAGUGUUUUACUUGGGAUUGUCUUAUCAAUUUAAAGUAGAUGAUCUUUUAAACUUGGAAGUAUAUAAAUGUCUUUUAAAAGACAGGAACUUCCCAGUGAUGCAGUUUACCUUCUCCUAAUGCACUCCCGUUAAAAUAAAGGUAGAGGGAAGUUGUAAGGACAGACUGUGCUGGAGAGAAUGGAUCAAUGAAGAAAACUACAACCUAAAGUAAAUGAACUGACAGCUGGAACUGGGACUCAACAGCAAAGUACUGCACCAAUCUUCCCCCCACCCUUAUCUAAGCCAAGGCUCCCUGGAAAAUCAUCCCGAUUAAAAGGCUCAUGUCUGUAGACCACAUCAAAAUGUACCUGGAAUUGGAUAGGCUGAUGCCACCCUCCUAAUCAAAGAUAAACAGGCUGAGGGAGGCAAAAGAGAAAUGGGUAAAUAGUGCAUGGAAUAGGAGAAGUUUCUUUAGACUUUAGCACACAGCAACACAAAUUUGAAGACAUUAAAUAAAGUCUCUCUCCUGAAGUUUAAACAAGAAUCAAUCAGAAGGCCUACAAAUGAAUGAGUGAAGUAGGAGGCUGAAAUCUCCCAAGAAAAUAAUCCAGAAUUGGAGCCUCUGGAGAACAGACUCAGUCCAGCCAAGGCCCAGAACAAGAUUAUAAAACACAUAAAAUCUCAGAACCUGCAAUAAAAAUCUUAAUUAGCACACAUACACCCCACUCCUGGUCACGUGCAAAGAAUACAUGAAGCCCUAGCUGGUUUGGCUGUGAAUAGAGCUUUGGCAUGCAGUCUGAAGGGUCCCAGGUUUGAGA